rnacentral:rRNA from 1 species
GACGAACGUUGGCGGCGUGCUUAACACAUGCAAGUCGAACGGAAAGGCCCUGCUUUUGUGGGGUGCUCGAGUGGCGAACGGGUGAGUAACACGUGAGUAACCUGCCCUUGACUUUGGGAUAACUUCAGGAAACUGGGGCUAAUACCGGAUAGGAGCUCCUGCUGCAUGGUGGGGGUUGGAAAGUUUCGGCGGUUGGGGAUGGACUCGCGGCUUAUCAGCUUGUUGGUGGGGUAGUGGCUUACCAAGGCUUUGACGGGUAGCCGGCCUGAGAGGGUGACCGGCCACAUUGGGACUGAGAUACGGCCCAGACUCCUACGGGAGGCAGCAGUGGGGAAUAUUGCACAAUGGGCGGAAGCCUGAUGCAGCAACGCCGCGUGCGGGAUGACGGCCUUCGGGUUGUAAACCGCUUUCGCCUGUGACGAAGCGUGAGUGACGGUAAUGGGUAAAGAAGCACCGGCUAACUACGUGCCAGCAGCCGCGGUGAUACGUAGGGUGCGAGCGUUGUCCGGAUUUAUUGGGCGUAAAGGGCUCGUAGGUGGUUGAUCGCGUCGGAAGUGUAAUCUUGGGGCUUAACCCUGAGCGUGCUUUCGAUACGGGUUGACUUGAGGAAGGUAGGGGAGAAUGGAAUUCCUGGUGGAGCGGUGGAAUGCGCAGAUAUCAGGAGGAACACCAGUGGCGAAGGCGGUUCUCUGGGCCUUUCCUGACGCUGAGGAGCGAAAGCGUGGGGAGCGAACAGGCUUAGAUACCCUGGUAGUCCACGCUGUAAACGGUGGGUACUAGGUGUGGGGUCCAUUCCACGGGUUCCGUGCCGUAGCUAACGCUUUAAGUACCCCGCCUGGGGAGUACGGCCGCAAGGCUAAAACUCAAAGGAAUUGACGGGGCCCCGCACAAGCGGCGGAGCAUGCGGAUUAAUUCGAUGCAACGCGUAGAACCUUACCUGGGUUUGACAUGGAUCGGGAGUGCUCAGAGAUGGGUGUGCCUCUUUUGGGGUCGGUUCACAGGUGGUGCAUGGCUGUCGUCAGCUCGUGUCGUGAGAUGUUGGGUUAAGUCCCGCAACGAGCGCAACCCUUGUUCACUGUUGCCAGCACGUUAUGGUGGGGACUCAGUGGAGACCGCCGGGGUCAACUCGGAGGAAGGUGGGGAUGACGUCAAGUCAUCAUGCCCCUUAUGUCCAGGGCUUCACGCAUGCUACAAUGGCUGGUACAGAGAGUGGCGAGCCUGUGAGGGUGAGCGAAUCUCGGAAAGCCGGUCUCAGUUCGGAUUGGGGUCUGCAACUCGACCUCACGAAGUCGGAGUCGCUAGUAAUCGCAGAUCAGCAACGCUGCGGUGAAUACGUUCCCGGG